rnacentral:rRNA from 1 species
GUGGCAUAUAGCUCAGUAACAUGUGGCCAAACUACCCUACAGACCGCGAUAACCUCGGGAAACUGAGGCCAAUAGCGGAUAUAACUCUCAUGCUGGAGUGCCGAGAGUUAGAAACGUUCCGGCGCUGUAGGAUGUGGCUGCGGCCGAUUAGGUAGAUGGUGGGGUAACGGCCCACCAUGCCGAUAAUCGGUACGGGUUGUGAGAGCAAGAGCCCGGAGACGGUAUCUGAGACAAGAUACCGGGCCCUACGGGGCGCAGCAGGCGCGAAACCUUUACACUGCACGACAGUGCGAUAGGGGGACUCCGAGUGUGAGGGCAUAUAGCCCUCGCUUUUCUGUACCGUAAGGUGGUACAGGAACAAGGACUGGGCAAGACCGGUGCCAGCCGCCGCGGUAAUACCGGCAGUCCAAGUGAUGGCCGAUAUUAUUGGGCCUAAAGCGUCCGUAGCUUGCUGUGUAAGUCCAUUGGGAAAUCGACCCGCUCAACUGGUCGGCGUCCGGUGGAAACUGCCCGGCUUGGGGCCGAAAGACUCGACGGGUACGUCCGGGGUAGGAGUGAAAUCCUGUAAUCCUGGACGGACCACCAAUGGGGAAACCACGUUGAGAGAACGGACCCGACAGUGAGGGACGAAAGCCAGGGUCUCGAACCGGAUUAGAUACCCGGGUAGUCCUGGCUGUAAACAAUGCUCGCUAGGUAUGUCACACGCCAUG